AUUACCCACUCCCGGCACGGGGAGGUAGUGACAAAAAAUAACGAUACGGGACUCUAUUGAGGCCCCGUAAUCGGAAUGAGUACACUUUAAAUACUUUAACAAGGAUCCAUUGGAGGGCAAGUCUGGUGCCAGCAGCCGCGGUAAUUCCAGCUCCAAUAGCGUAUAUUAAAGUUGUUGCGGUUAAAAAGCUCGUAGUUGGUUCUGCGUGCCGCGCUGUCGGUUCGCCGCCUGUCGGUGUAACUGGCAUGUCGCGGCAUGUCCUGUCGGUGGUGAACGAAAUGCACGGUACUGGCAGAUACUUCUAGCCGAGGUUGAUGCUUGGUGUCGUGUUCAAUUCGUUUGCCGAUCUCUCCUACUCCGGUGCUCUUAAACGAGUGUCGAGGUAGGCCGACACGUUUACUUUGAACAAAUUAGAGUGCUUAAAGCAGGCUGAAAUAUCUGCCUGAAUAGUGGUGCAUGGAAUAAUAAAAUAGGACCUCGGUUCUAUUUUGUUGGUUUUAGGAAUAUGAGGUAAUGAUCAAUGUGGACUGGCGGGGGCAUUCGUAUUGCGACGUUAGAGGUGAAAUUCUUGGAUCGUCGCAAGACGCACUAGAGCGAAAGCAUUUGCCAAGUAUGUCUUAAUUGAUCAAGAACGAAAGUUAGAGGUUCGAAGGCGAUCAGAUACCGCCCUAGUUCUAACCAUAAACGAUGCCAGCCAGCGAUCCGCCGAUGUUCCUUUAAUGACUCGGCGGGGAGCUUCUACUCGGGAAACCAAAGCUUUUGGGUUCCGGGGGAAGUAUGGUUGCAAAGCUGAAACUUAAAGGAAUUGACGGAAGGGCACCACCAGGAGUGGAGCCUGCGGCUUAAUUUGACUCAWCACGGGAAACCUCACCAGGCCAGGACAUUGGAAGGAUUGACAGAUUGAUAGCUCUUUCUUGAUUCAG
rnacentral:rRNA from 1 species